AUAAACUUAUGGGACUGCCUAUGGGAAAUAACUUGAUAAGGAUUCAGGAUGAUAUGUACUGUGUCAGGUGGUUGCUCUAACUAGAAGCCAACCAGGUGCAGAGAUGGGACUGUAUCUAAGCUAUGUACUUUUGAUUUGAUAAAGGUAACAUAUAGAUAGCGACUCAUAGAAUGAGAGGAGACUUUGAAAAUGAGAUUGCAAAUACCUAAUAAAUGCUGUUGAAGAUUCCCAUUAGCCAUGUACUCAUAUAUGAGUGCCUUUUUUUUGCCAUCAUCACAGUAUCCAACAAGAGUAACCAAGUUUCCAUGAUGAAGUACCAUUAAGAGCUGUGCCUGUGUUUCGAAAUGGAGUUCCAUUGUUUAGAGAGAGAAGCUUGACAGCAACUUGAAAUCCAUCUUUCAAUUUGCCGAGCAAGAGCAAUAAUGAUGAAGAGAAGGAUCAAGACUGCUGUUAUAGACGAUGCAAGAACUGGAAUGAAAAAUUCCUUUUUCUUCUUUCCCUUACAUGGAGUGUACAGACAAAGAUCUGGAUGUGCAUCAACCCUUGUAUGAAGUGCAUCAAGGUUAUGUUUGCAACACCCAGAUGAGAGCUCCACAACUUACAGGGUCUUCAAUUUAGGUAUUUGUCCCAGAACUUCUGGCAGUGGCCCAGUUAAGUCAUUAAAUGACAAGUCCCUGAAAAAGAAAGAAAAUAUUGGGUAAGAAGAAUAUUAGUGAGUUCUAAGGGUAGGUUUGGAUAAUGAGUUGAAAUGAGAUGAGUUGAGAUGAAAGUUGAAUAAAAUAUUGUUAGAAAAUUAUUAUUGUUUUGGAAUUCAAAAAUUUUGAAUUAUUUAUUAUAUUUUGUGUGGAAAUUUGAAAAAGUUAUAAUGACUAAAUGAAAUGAGUCGGGGGAAUUUCUUAAUCCAAACUGGGCCUAAGCUAAACAAUUGUUUUCUGUCGUUGAAAAUCAAAUAUUAAAUAACAUGACUUGCAUAAAAAUAUAAUUCCUUCCAAGUAAAAGUUCCUGGUAUCAAAUCUCAGAAAAUACACCCUCCAAUUAUUAACGUCUACAGCAAUAGGCAAUCUCAAGUUGGCAGAUUGUCUUGCUCAACCUGUGCUGGUAUCUGGCAAGCACUGGUGUUAAGAAACUGAAUGCUAAUUUAAGACUCACAAGGACUGGAUUAGUUCGAGCUUAGAGAAUGAAGUUGCAAUUUCCCCUGUCAAUUUGCUUGAGCUCAAGUUCCAGUUUGUAAUUAUGAAACAAGGAAAAGUUAUUGCCAUUGAUUAAAGAUAAAUUGCAAUCCAGAAAAAAAUACUCUCAUGCAAUAAGCAGGGAGUCACUAUCUGUUUGAAGUUUCGGUCAAAAUGAAAGUUUCACAGCGUGAUUGAAAUUUCAC